GAAAAUCCUGAAUGUUUUGAAAGAAAGUAGCAGAAAAUAGAGGACAACUCUGAGCCCCUCAUGUCUCCAAGCCAACUGUUUACUCCUUCUCUCCUACUCAUUUCAUAUUUCCCAUAUGAGAAAUGGAAGCCCUACAAGUAUUUCUAGCUUAGAAGACACUACCCUUGUUGUAAUGUGUUGUAUUGGUGACUGGGUAGUUCCAGGGGCUAAUGAGGAGAUAUAAAAUCACAGUGAACCCAAGUGACCAUUUCGAAUCUAACCCAAACAUGGCAAUAAAUAUGUCCAAGCUCCAACAUUUUCUCCAGUGUGCAAAAUGCCUUUGCAAGAGCCCGGAGAGAUUCCCGCUGGUCUCUGCAGGAUUUGGCUUGAGCUCCUCUGCAGGAAUUAGUUCGUGCCAGUGGAAGUAAA